rnacentral:tRNA from 1 species
GGGGAUGUAGCUCAGUGGUAGAGCACAUGCCUGGAAUGUACAAGGUACUGAGUUCAAAUCCCGGUAUUCCAA